CCCUUAGAUGUUCUGGGCCGCACGCGCGCUACACUGUUCGACGCAGCGAGUCUUAACCUUGACCGAAAGGUUUGGGUAAUCUUCAGCAAAGUCGAACGUGACGGGGAUCGAUCAUUGCAAUUAUUGAUCGUGAACGAGGAAUUCCUAGUAAGUGCAAGUCAUCAGCUUGCGCUGAUUACGUCCCUGCCCUUUGUACACACCGCCCGUCGCUACUACCGAUUGAAUGGUUUAGUGAGAUCUCUGGAUUGACGCUGGCUAGGGGGCGACCCUUGGCCAGACUGUUGAGAAACUGCUCAAACUUGAUCAUUUAGAGGAAGUAAAAGUCGUAACA
rnacentral:rRNA from 1 species